GACGGGUAUCCGGCCUGAGAGGGUGAUCGGACACACUGGAACUGAGACACGGUCCAGACUCCUACGGGAGGCAGCAGUAGGGAAUAUUGCUCAAUGGGGGAAACCCUGAAGCAGCAACGCCGCGUGGAGGAUGAAGGUUUUCGGAUUGUAAACUCCUUUUGUUAGAGAAGAUAAUGACGGUAUCUAACGAAUAAGCACCGGCUAACUCCGUGCCAGCAGCCGCGGUAAUACGGAGGGUGCAAGCGUUACUCGGAAUCACUGGGCGUAAAGAGCGCGUAGGCGGGGUAGCAAGUCAGAUGUGAAAUCCUAUGGCUUAACCAUAGAACUGCAUUUGAAACUGUUACUCUA
rnacentral:rRNA from 1 species